GAAGUGAGUGACAUUGGACAAUUAUGUUGGAUUUUUUUACAAAAUAUCCUCAAUAGACUUGUUCGGAAUCUAGUUCACUUCA
rnacentral:tRNA from 1 species